rnacentral:rRNA from 1 species
UACGGGGGGGGCAAGCGUUGUUCGGAAUUACUGGGCGUAAAGCGCACGUAGGUGGCGACGUAAGUCGGGUGUGAAAGCCCCGGGCUCAACCUGGGAAUUGCAUUCGAGACUGCAUUGCUGGAGUACGGAAGAGGAAGGCGGAAUUCCCGGUGUAGCGGUGAAAUGCGCAGAUAUCAGGAAGAACACCCGUGGCUAAGGCGGCUCUCUAGUACGGUACUGACGCUGAGACGCGAAAGCGUGGGGAGCGAACAGG